AAAUUCCCAGACAGGAAUGCUGGUAUUUGCUUGGACAUGGUCCAACAUGCAAAUCUUUCUUCCACCUAUCUUUUCCUUCCAGGUUUAGAGGCCCUCCUGUGUGUCUUGGAAGCCAAGGACUGUGUUCUUCAGUGUCUCAUGCCCUUCCAGGCUCACUAUGACCACCUCCUCUAAGUUCUUCCAAAGAGCAGUUCAGCUUUUUGUGGGAGGAUUUUGGGUUGUUCCCCAAUCCUACAGCUGGCAGUAAUGGACUGAACAUCACUGUAAAGACUUUAUUCCCUUUGGAUCCCCAUGAGAGGCCUCAGGCAAACCAAAGCAACUGACACUGAAUGGCACACACUGUCCCACUGUCCAUCUACCAGAUCUUGCCCUGACUGCCCAGAGAUAACUGGUGGCACCAAGGAAAAGGCAGCUGCAGGCUGGGCCUGGCUGCCUGCACAUUCUGCUCUGGGCUUUGGCAUCAGGUGAGGGUGUCUGAAAAAGAACUGAUUUCAAUUUUCUUUUGUUUGUGCUGCAUCUUUCCUCAAGUCUCUGUGCUGUGACAAGGUAGGGAAGGCACGCAGCCAUCAAGCCUUCUCAGGGACAUUCAGGACACAGGGAAA
rnacentral:lncRNA from 12 species